rnacentral:rRNA from 1 species
ACCAAGGCUUGACAUACACGAGAACACCCUAGAAAUAGGGGACUCUUUGGACACUCGUGAACAGGUGGUGCAUGGUUGUCGUCAGCUCGUGUCGUGAGAUGUUGGGUUAAGCCCCGCAACGAGCGCAACCCUCGUUCUAUGUUGCCAGCACGUAAUGGUGGGAACUCAUGGGAUACUGCCGGGGUCAACUCGGAGGAAGGUGGGGAUGACGUCAAAUCAUCAUGCCCCUUAUGUCUUGGGCUUCACGCAUGCUACAAUGGCCGGUACAAAGGGCUGCAAUACCGUGAGGUGGAGCGAAUCCCAAAAAGCCGGUCCCAGUUCGGAUUGAGGUCUGCAACUCGACCUCAUGAAGUCGGAGUCGCUAGUAAUCGCAGAUCAGCAACGCUGCGGUGAAUACGUUCCCGGGUCUUGUACACACGC